GUCUAUGGCCAUACCCUCCGGAAUGUGUCCGAUCUCGUCUGAUCUUGAAGCUAAGCAGGGUCAGGCCUGGUUAGUACUUGGAUGGGAGAAAAGAAAAACCUUAGUGACAAAAGACA
rnacentral:rRNA from 1 species